rnacentral:rRNA from 1 species
AGGGCACCACCAGGAGUGGAGCCUGCGGCUUAAUUUGACUCAACACGGGAAAACUCACCCGGCCCGGACACUGGAAGGAUUGACAGAUUGAGAGCUCUUUCUUGAUUCAGUGGGUGGUGGUGCAUGGCCGUUCUUAGUUGGUGGAGCGAUUUGUCUGGUUAAUUCCGAUAACGAACGAGACUCUAGCCUAUUAAAUAGGCUCCCGGCUUUUAAACGCCGGGAAGACUUCUUAGAGGGACAGGUGGCGGUUCAGCCGCACGAAAGAGAGCAAUAACAGGUCUGUGAUGCCCUUUGUUGUCCGGGGCCGCACGCGCGCUACACUGAAGAGAUCAGCGUGCUUUAUGUUCCUGCUCCGACCGGAGUGGGGAACCCAGUGAACCUUCUUCGUGAUUGGGAUAGAAGAUUGUAAUUAUUCUUCUUGAACGAGGAAUUCCCAGUAAAUGCGAGUCAUAAGCUCGCGUUGAUUACGUCCCUGCCCUUUGUACACACCGCCCGUCGCUACUACCGAUUGAACGAUUU